AUGGCAGAAGUGGCGUUGGCUCUGGCUGGAGCACGGGCUGGCUUACAGUUGGUGGUAUCACCGAUCUUGAAGAAGCUCCUAGCUGACCCUGCAAGGUGCCUUGGUGUGGACAUGGUGAGUGAGCUCCAUGAACUGGAGACCAACAUCAUGCCACAGUUCGCUCUACUGGUGGAGGCGGCUAACAAGAGCCCUCACAGGCCAAUGUUGAACAACUGGAUCCAGCAGCUCAAAGACGCCUUCUGUAAAGCUGAGGACCUGCUAGAUGAGCAUGAGUACAACAUCCUCAAGCGCAAAGCAAAGAAGGGGAAGGAUUCUUUGAUAGAACAUGCAUCUUCCAGUAAUGCUAUUAUGAUGCAUGUGCAUACUGUGUCGAGCAAGCUGUCCAAUCUGCGCCCAAAGAACAAACGGCUGCUUCACCAGUUGAAGGAACUGAAGGCCAUCCUUGCGAAAGCCAAGGGCUUCCGUGAACUGCUUUGUUUAACUGCUGGGACCUCCGCAAUGCCAGCAGCUGUUAUUCGAGUGGCCACAUCAAUAGCACCUCCCAAAGUGAUUGGCCGUGACAAGGACCGCGAUGAUAUUAUAGGUCUUCUUACCAAGCCGAUUUCUGUUGAGUCUGAUACAAGUAGGUUUUCUGGUCUAGCCAUUGUUGGACUUGGAGGCAUGGGAAAAUCCACCUUGGCGCAAUAUGUUUACAGUGAUGAGAGGGUAAAAGAACAUUUUCAGUUUAGGAUGUGGGUUUGCAUCUCGCGCAAACUUGAUGUUUUUGGCCAUACACGAUUGAUUAUUGAAUCAGCAAAAGGAGGGCAAUGCCCUCCUGUUGAUAAUCUUGAUACUCUCCAAUGCAUAUUGAGGGACAUACUGGAAAAAUCAAAGAGGUUCCUGCUUGUGUUGGAUGAUGUCUGGUUCGAAAAGAACAACAAUGAGGACUGGGAGCAACUAUUGGCUCCUCUAGUUUCUCGACACACAGGAAGCAAAGUUUUGGUAACUUCUCGAUCCGAGACACUUCCAACUGCUCUUUACUGUAAGGAAAUUAUUAUUUUGAAAGAAAUGGAAAACACCGAUAUCUUAGCACUCUUGAAGGAACAUGCCUUUUCUGGUGCAGCAAUUGGAGACCAGAGGUUGCAUGAGCAGCUAGAAACGAUUGCAGAGAAGCUUGCUAAAAGACUUGGAAGAUCUCCUCUGGCAGCAAAAACUGUGGGUUCACAACUAAGCAGGAAAAAGGAUAAGGCAGCAUGGGAAGAUGCUCUAAGGAUUGACAACUUAAGUGAUCCCAGUAGAGCACUUUUGUGGAGUUACGAGAAGUUAGAUCCAAGUCUGCAGAGGUGUUUCCUAUAUUGCAGCUUAUAUGCAAAAGGAAACGGCUUUAUCAUGGAGGAGUUGGUCCGCAUGUGGGUAGGACAGGGACUUUUUGAUUCGUGCAAUGUGAACAAGAGAAUUGCGGAUAUUGGGAGGGACUGCUUUGAUGAGAUGCUCUCAGUUUCUUUCUUUCAACCAGCUUAUAGAGGUGGUAGAAUUAUGGACUGGUAUGUUAUGCAUGAUCUCGUUCAUGAUUUGGCAGAGUCAUUGUCUAAAGAAGUCUGCUUCAGAUUAGAAGAUGAUAAGAUGGCAAUGUUGCCACACACUGGUCGACAUCUAUCUGUUUCUGUUAAGAGUUUGAAGCAACAUCAGCACUCUAUCUGCAGGCUACAUCAUUUACGUAGCUUUGUCUGCAUUGAACCACUUAUAGAUGAUGCAAGAGAUAUUUUCCAGCAGGUGCUGCAGAAUUUGAAGAAGUUACGUGUACUUAUUCUGGCAUUCUAUAACAGCAGCAACCUGCCUGAAUCUAUUGGUGAACUGAAGCACCUUCGGUACUUGAACCUCGAAAGAACUUCGAUCUCUGAAUUGCCUGGAUCAUUGUGUGCUCUUUACCACUUGCAAUUACUUCAUUUCAGUCCAAAGGUUGAAACUUUUCCUGAAAAAAUAUUCAGUUUAAGUAAGUUGAGAUAUCUUCAAGGACUUGGCCAAAUCCCUUACAUAGGCAAGUUAAUUUCACUCCGCAAUCUCGAACAAUUUUGCGUGAAAAAACAAAGGGGCUAUGAGCUGCAACAACUGAAAGAAAUGAACAACCUUGGUGGCAGUUUAAGGGUCACAAAUCUUGAGAAUGUUGCUGGGAAGGAUCAAGCCUUAGAAGCAAAGCUACAUCAUAAGAAUCAUCUCGAUAGAUUGCACCUUGAAUGGAGUGAAGAAAAUGACAUGACUGCUCCUGAUAGUUUACAUUUGGAAACCCUGGAAGGUCUGGUACCACCACCGCAAAUAAGGAGCCUUACCAUCAAAGGUUACCGAUAUGCAAAAUACCCAGGCUGGUUACUCAGGGAUUCUUAUUUCCAGAAUUUGGAAUCACUUGCACUUGUUAAUUGCAGUGCCUUAGAAAUCCUACCAUCGAAUGCCGCUCUCUUUGGGAAUUGCUCCUCACUUCGCCUCGAGAAUGUCCCAUACCUGAAGACAUUACCUUCUCUUCCAGCUAGCCUUGAAGAGUUAGUGAUUGAGAAAUGCAUAUUGCUUAUGUUUAUUUCUAGCUAUGAGCUAAAACAAUAUGACCAAAGGGAGAACACCAUGAUGACAUACAACCUGAAGUCACGGCUUUCUUCCACCUGGGAGGUGGAUUCGGGACCAGAAAUCAAGAAAAUACUGUUGUCAGAACAUUCAUCUCUGAAGCGCUUGAUGAAAUUGAUGGAUGUUGAUAUUUCUCAUCUUCAAACCAUUGGAAGUGCUCUAGAAAGAGAGGGGAGUGAAGUAUUGGUGAAAGAGGAUAUCAUCAACGCAUGGAUAUGUUGCCAUGUGGAGAGGAUAAGACUCAUAUGUAAAAGGAACAUCAGCCUACAACUGGUUCCACCAUCAGGGCUUUGUCGGCUUGACCUUUAUUCAUGUGUCGUUACAGAUGAAGCAUUAGCGGUUUGCCUUGUUGGUCUCACUGCAUUAAGAAAACUGUCAUUGAAAGAGAUUAUGACUUUGACUACACUUCCGUCACAGGACGUUCUCCAACAGUUGACAAAGCUUGAUAACUUGUGCAUCGACUCGUGCUGGUGCCUUAGAUCGUUAGGGGGGCUGCGAGCUAUUACCACUCUUUCAGGAUUUUCUUUAUGGAGCUGCCCUUCUGUAGAGUUGACACAUGGAUCAGAUUUUAUGCCAUUGUCCCUUGAGAUGCUCAGCAUAAGAUACUCCGUGGUUGCAGAAGAUUUCUUUAGGGGUGACUUGCCACACCUGAAACAUCUUGACAUGAGUUGGUGCAGAAGCUCUUCAUCAUUGUCGAUUGGUCAUUUAACCUCCCUGGUAGAAUUAUCACUACGAAAUUUACAGGACCUGUGCUUUCUUGAAGGGUUGUCUUCGCUGAAACUUGGCAGUGCACAUUUUGGAGAUCUCCCGAAUCUUAGUAUGAAGUGCAUCUCACAGUUGCAACUCGGUGCUCUUUAUGUUAGCAGCUCUUUAAUACUCAACCAUGUGCUCUCAGCUGAAGGUCUUACAGUUCCAGGAUAUCUCGCCCUUGAAGAUUGCAAGGAGCGAUCAUUUUCAUUCAAAGAAUCAGCAGAUUUCUCAUCUGUCGACUGCCUGUCAUUUUUUAAUUGUGAAAUCAGUUCCUUGCCAGAUUUGAAGUGCUUUUCAUGUCUGAGGAGACUCCAAAUUGUUGGAUGUCCCAAUAUAUCAGCUUUACCUGAUAUGCCAUCCUCCCUCUACCACAUAGCCGUGGGGAAAUGUAAACUCUUGAAGAAGAGCUGCCAAUCACCUGAUGGAGAAAGCUGGCCAAAGAUUGAGCAUGUCCGCUCAAAAGCUAUCUGGUAA
rnacentral:rRNA from 1 species